AGUGAAGUGGCUGAAAUCAAGGUGAUAGAUUGUACCUCUAUUUAUGGGGUAAAUUCCUCCUUCACUA
rnacentral:tRNA from 1 species